rnacentral:rRNA from 1 species
UCAAGGAACUAAGAGUUUAUGGGGGAUACCUUGGCAUUCAGAAGCGAUGAAGGACGUGGCUACCAGCGAAAUGCUUCGGGGAGUUGGAAGUAAGCUUUGAUCCGGAGGUCUCCGAAUGAGGAAACUCUACAUCUUUUUACUGAAUUUAUAAGUAAAAAAGAGCAAACUCAGGGAAUUGAAACAUCUUAGUACCUGAAGGAAAAGAAAGUAAAAACGAUUCCCUUAGUAGCGGCGAGCGAAACGGGAUUAGCCUAAACUUAAUUCUAAAUUAAGGGUAGUGGGACAAUAAGAAAAGAAUAAAUGGAACGAUUAGAGGAAUAAGUUUGGAAUACUUAACCAUAGAGAGUGAUAGUCUCGUACUCGAAAAUUGAACCAAUUCAAUUGUAUCCCAAGUAGCAUGGGGCACGUGAAAUUCCGUGUGAAUCUGCGAGGACCACCUCGUAAGGCUAAAUAUUCCUGGAUGUCCGAUAGUGAAAUAGUACCGCGAGGGAAAGGUGAAAAGAACCCCGGGAGGGGAGUGAAAUAGAACGUGAAAUUGCAAGCUUACAAACAGAAGGAGAACGACUUAGCGUUUGACUUCGUGCCUGUUGAAGAAUGUUCCGGCGACUUAUAGUUAGUGGCAGGUUAAGAUAGAGAUAUCGGAGCCAGAGUGAAAGCGAGCUUGAAGAGAGCGUAGUCACUAGUUAUAGACCCGAACCCGCUUGAUCUAACCAUGGCCAGGAUGAAACUUAGGUAAUACUAAGUGGAGGUCCGAACCGACUGAUGUUGAAAAAUCAGCGGAUGAAUUGUGGUUAGGGGUGAAAUGCCAAUCGAAUCCGGAGCUAGCUGGUUCUCCCCGAAAUGCGUUUAGGCGCAGCGGUAAAUGUUAUAAUUUAGGGGUAAAGCACUGUUACGUAUGCGGGCUGGUAAUUCGGUACCAAAUCGUUGCAAACUAAGAAUACUAAAUGUAUAGUUUACCAGUAAGACUGUGGGGGAUAAGCUCCAUUGUCAAGAGGGAAACAGCCCAGAUCACCAGCUAAGGCCCCUAAAUAAUUACUAAGUGAUAAAGGUAGUGGAAGGGCUUAGACAACCAGGAGGUUUGCUUAGAAGCAGCAAUCCUUUAAAAAGUGCGUAAUAGCUUACUGGUCUAGCAAUUCUGCGCCGAAAAUUAACGGGACUAAGUAAUUUGCCGAAGCUGUGAGAUAUACAUUUUGUAUAUCGGUAGGGGAGCGUUCCAUGUUAGGAUGAAGUAUUAGCGAAAGCGGGUAUGGACGAAAUGGAAGUGAGAAUGUCGGAUUGAGUAGCGAAAACAUUGGUGAGAAUCCAAUGCUCCGAAACCCUAAGGUUUCCUCCGCAAGGUUCGUCCACGGAGGGUUAGUCAGGUCCUAAGGUGAGGCUGAGAAGCGUAAUUGAUGGACAAUAGGUCAAUAUUCCUAUACUGAUCAUUGCUGGUAUCGAGGGACGAAAGAGGCUAAAUUAGCCGGAUAUUGGUUACCGGUUCAAGUAUUCAAGGUGUUGAGAAAUAGAGAAAAUAUUUUGAGCUAAGAUAUGAGUACAAGAUUUUUAGAAAUCAAAGUAAUUGAUGUCAUAUUUCCAAGAAAAGCUCGCAAUGCCAUAAGCAAUGAUCACCUGUACCUUAAACCGACACAGGUAGGGAGGUAGAGAAUACCAAGGAGCGCGGGAGAACCCUCCUUAAGGAACUCGGCAAAAUAGCUCUGUAACUUCGGAAGAAAGAGUGCCCAUUGGGCUGCAAUAUCAAGUUCCAAGCAACUGUUUAGCAAAAACACAGGUCUCCGCUAAGUUGUAAAACGACGUAUGGGGGCUGACGCCUGCCCAGUGCCGGAAGGUUAAAGAAGUUGGUUAGUCGUAAGGCAAAGCUGAUAACUGAAGCCCCAGUGAACGGCGGCCGUAACUAUAACGGUCCUAAGGUAGCGAAAUUCCUUGUCGGGU